CAGCAGCCACGGUAAUACGUAGGUCCCGAGCGUUGUCCGGAUUUAUUGGGCGUAAAGCGAGCGCAGGCGGUUAGAUAAGUCUGAAGUUAAAGGCUGUGGCUUAACCAUAGUACGCUUUGGAAACUGUUUAACUUGAGUGCAAGAGGGGAGAGUGGAAUUCCAUGUGUAGCGGUGAAAUGCGUAGAUAUAUGGAGGAACACCGGUGGCGAAAGCGGCUCUCUGGCUUGUAACUGACGCUGAGGCUCGAAAGCGUGGGGAGCAAACAGGAUUAGAUACCCGCGUAGUCCCUGUCUCUUAUACA
rnacentral:rRNA from 1 species